GGAAGGGCUGCUAAACAGUCUCUGUUUCCAAGAGUUAGCAAAACACAGAUGUACUAACCUCCCUUGGGUUACUAGAUGUACUAACACUCCCUUCAUCAGAGUGAGUGGCCUCCUAGUAGAAUAGGUUGGCUAUGCCACGGAACCAUUUUUAGGAGAUGUCCAGCAAUGGGGAGAGAAUUGAAAACCCCACAAGAUUAUUCCCCCAGGAGUGAGCCAGCAUGGAUGCAUUGCCAUAUUCCAGACAACAGACUGGGACAAAAGGCCUGAGUCACAGACCAGUGAUUGGCAAAACAGAGAAGCUGAAGCAACUGUACAGCAAGCAGGAGCUCACACACGGGAGCCUACCUCUGGGAAUGCCGAGAAGUCAAUGCAAUGGUCACAUCUCAGGUUGUCUGGACACACAGACGGUUCACAAAUCCCGGGAUGGACCAGGAAGGCCAUUCAGUGAGAUUGUGUUGAACUGGGGAGUGGUGACAGUAAACAUUGACAUUAUGGUCCUACAUACAUAUCAUACGUUCCAUUAGUGUCCUACAUAAGUUAUAACCUGCUUACUCCUCCCAGUGCCCUUGAGAGAUCAGCCUGCUAAUUCCCACUCCAGAGUCAGGGAAGCUAAGUGCUGGGGACUCAGGAAACUUGACUGCGUUUAUAGCCAGUGAGUGGCAAAGCUGAUGUUUGAAUCCGUGUUUCGUGUUUCAGAGUCUUGGGAAGCUACGGUUUUUGUCCAUGGGGCUGAGUUGCUACACCACCCUAGAUGGUGGGCUGAGGGGCCUCUUCUGAUGAACUCCCUUCAGAAUGCAUUCCCUUCACAUCUGUUACCUCUUGCGGUGUGGGUCGCUGCUCUGUGGAAGUUGGACAGAACCCUUGGAACCUCCCGUGUGAUUCUGAAGUCUAGUGCAAACUCCAGUCAGUAAACUAAGAGAAACCAUUUUUAGUCAAAGGAAGCAAGGAACACUCCAACCAGCCCAGACUGACUUUCUUCUGUGGUUAAAAAUCUGGAUCUCCAUGUAAUUGCAACUGGGAAGAUCCUGCUGGAAGAUGUGCCAAGGUAGCCCCACAUGUUCCAAAGGGAUCGAAACUCAUUUGGAAGGGUAUGUUCUGAGAGAGAGAGAGAGAGAGAGAGAGAGAGAGA
rnacentral:lncRNA from 1 species